ACAUUUCUUUGCACUGGAGAAAUGAUCUCAUUAACAAACUAGUUCUGUGCGUCCUUAACACAGGCCCCUUGCCUGCAGCUGGAGCCAGCUCUCUGUUCAGCCCCAGUGCAGAGUGACACAGACAAGCGACAGCGUCGCUGAGCGCUAACUUCUAUUCCACCGAGGCAGACAGCGAAAACCAUUUCAGAACCAUGGCAAGGCAUGAGAGAAGCACAGAAUGGUGUAGUAGAAGAGUCUAGGAUUUCUCCAUUUGGGGAGAGGACAAUGAGAGAAAGGAGAAAGAACUUGGGAGAGUCUGGGAGGUGAGAUCUUUGGGAAAAUGAUGAUGAUGUUAGUCUUUUUUUUUUUUUUUGGUCCCUUUAUGUAGAAUUUUGAUGCCUAGGAUCAGAAUGUUUUAAAGAAAGAAGGUGGCUCCUUCUUACUUGACUGCUGAAAGGGGCAUUGAAAAAUGAACUUCGGAUUUGAUGACUUUAGCAAGAGCUAUUUUGGUAGCAUGAGGUUGAUAGAAGCAGACUGUGUGGGCUAAGAAAGGAAGGUGAGGAAAUGUAGUGAGAAGAAUAGGUCACCCACUAGAGAAGUUUAGCUUUGUGGGAAAGAAGAGUUAGGCCAGAGCUAUGGGUGCCUUGGAGAUAGGACA
rnacentral:lncRNA from 1 species